UACAGAGGGGGCAAGCGUUGUUCGGAAUUACUGGGCGUAAAGGGCGCGUAGGCGGCCUGUUAAGUCGAACGUGAAAUCCCCGGGCUCAACCCGGGAACUGCGUCCGAUACUGGCAGGCUUGAAUUCGGGAGAGGGAUGCGGAAUUCCAGGUGUAGCGGUGAAAUGCGUAGAUAUUGGGAAGAACACCUGAGGCGAAGGCGGGUUGCUGGGCUGAUACUGACGCUGAGGCGCGAAAGCCAGGGGAGCAAACGGG
rnacentral:rRNA from 1 species